CUUGCAGCUUCCAGCAGUAAAAUCAUCUUUAAUGUGUUUCUUGGUGUGUUUUAGGGCUUUGUACUGAAUAGUUGUCUUGGUAAAUGUGGUUCUUUAGCCACAGUUAGCACAUGGUGCUGAUGUGUGCAGUGAUUAGUGGAUUUGGUCCAGCUGAGUUGUAUCUUUAUCUUGGCUGUAGUGAGUCUUCAGAGGUUUUUGGUCAGACACAUUCUGUAUUCUUGUUUGUGAAGCAACGUUGGUUGUCCAGAAGGUAAGAGUUCCUGUCCUGAUUCUCUGUUCUCAGAGGUUCUCUGGUAGGCUGCAGGAGACUUUAGCGUCUGGGUUGUGCUAGUUUGGUUUUUGUAUGGUUUCAUUUGGACGACUAUCUUGAGGCCCCUCCAUGUGGUUUAGUGAGGUUUUCUGGAACAGUUCUACAAAGCAACCUGCAGCAGAAGAGACUUUGAGAGUUUUUAUGAAGUUCUGGAGACCAGACUUUAGAGCAGCAGAAACAUUUGUCAGCAGUUUGAGCAGGAGAAGGUGAGCUUCAGAGUAGAAAUGAGACAGAAACCUUCUUGACCCGUGUGGUGAGGUCCUGUACCAAGAGUUUGAGCAGGUUGUGAAGAGUCUGUAGUUCUUUGGUCUGAAAGCACAAGAAGAGUCGACUCAUUAAAGGAGAAAACAGGAGAUAUUGUUGGUUCUUCUGUCACUCUGCAGUUUCCAGUUUCCUUUGACUGAAUAUCAAGUUUAUAUGUUAAAUGAUUUACAUUGUGAGCCCAAGAAGACUUCAAUAAACUCCCUCCAUCCCCUGGACACAACAUAUUUUAUUAAUUCAAUUCAAUUUUAUUUAUAUAGCGCCAAUUACAGUCAGAUUGUCUUGAGACGCUUUACAGAACCCAUAUGCCUGACCCCCAGAGCAAGCCAAAAGGUGACAGUGGCAAGGAAAACACCCUUUUAACAGGGAAAAAAACCUCGAGCAGAACCCGGCUCUAAUGUGGGGGGACCCAUCUGCUGCUGGCCGGAUGGGUUGAGAGGGACAGAAGAGAUAGAGAGGUGGGGGGGGACACAAGGACCAUAAAACAUACAGUAUAAUACGUGCAUGAUAAGACAGAUGAUACAUGCAAAGUACAACUAACAUGGAAACUAAUUAUAGUUUACUGCUAUGGUGUACAGCUCUGGCAUUAAAUAUACUACAUAUAUAGCUGGUGGUAAAUUCAAAAAUAUGUAGAUGAGCAAUGUUUAACUAUUAAACAGACAAAAUAUAGAAUUAGAUAAUUCAACAAGAUACAAUACAUGUCACUAUGAAAUUAAACAAAAUUUUUAAAAUACAAAUAUUAAAAAUUUCAGAUAAAAUAUUAUCCAUAAUUAAACAUUUAAAAAUACAAUUACACAAGAAGAAUAUUAAACAUUUUAAAAAAUGCAAAACAUUUAAUUAGAUUAUUAAACCUUUAAAAAGACAAAACAUUUAAUUAAAAAAUUAAACGUUUAAUUAGAAAAUUACAUCUUAAAGACAAUAAAACUUCAAAUAGGAAUUAAACAGAAAAUACAGUGAAGCAUUUAAAAAGAAAAUUAAACAUAAAAAGGUGGUAAAACAUUUAAAAAGAAAAACCUUAACAAAGAUUUAAUCAAAAAAUUAAACAUUAGGAAAGAAAAGGAAAUUUUUCAAACAAGCCGAUAAAACAUUUGAAAAAAACAACAAUUAAACAUUAAAAAGAUAAAACAUUUCGAAAUCAGAUCAGACAUUAGAACAGAAUAAAAGGUGAGAAAAGAGCAAAACUAAACAUUUAAGAAGAAUCAAACUAAAGAUAAAACCUUUGAAAGGGCACCAGUUAAACUUUAGAAGAUCAAAUUAAACAGAAGAAACAAUAAAAUGAUCAAAAGAGCAAAAACAGAUAAAGUGUUUUCUAGUCUGAAAUGAAAACAAGUUGUUUCUUCAAACAUUUCCUCUUUCUAUGUUCUUGGUUUGAUUGUGGACAGAUUUACUAAGAACUCAUUUAAGAAAACUGAUUUCCAGAUAAAGUCUACUAGUAGUUGAAGGCAUUAAUCAAACUAAUGUUACCUUCUGAUCUCCACAAACUUUACUGUUCAGUGAAGAGAAUCAAAGUUUGUUGAGGAUUUCUAAAAAACCCACAUGUGAAGGUCUGAGAAAAACUGAGAGGGAUGAUCUUAAUGUGAAAUCAAGACUCAUGGUCACAAGUUUUAAGGCUUCUGUUCACCAGAAAGUUCAAACUAACAGAGAAGUACUGAGAAACUUCUAAAAUUUCAGUCCUCAGACUGUCUGAAGGUUCAAACUAACAGAGAACUACUCAGGAACUUAGAAGAUAUCAGUCCUCAGACUGUCUGAAGGUUCAAACUAACAGAGAACUACUCAGGAACUUAGAAGAUAUCAGUCCUCGGACUGUCUGAAGGUUCAAACUAGCAGAGAACUACUGUGGGACUCAGAAAAUUUCAGCCCUCAGACUGUGUGAAAGCUCAGGUCCUGAGGACUCGGGAGGUCUGGAGGCUUGGAAAGUCUUGGAACUGAGGGUUCCACCCUCCAGCACAAAGGCUGAAGUCCAACCUCCUGAGAAAAACGGUCGAGAAAAGAGAAAGUAAAAAAAAAAACUCGAAAACGACAAAAAAUAGAUGAUAAAUGCGCAAAAAAAAGAAGAAUUAGUAUCUGAGCGAGUAGCUCAGGAGGAUAAGAAGAGGACUACCAAGCGGAGGGUCGCAGGUUCAAGACCUGCCAGUGGCAGUUUUCUUUCUUUGUCUUUGUCACACUUUUGAGAAAAUUUAAGAAGUGUCUGGUCUUGAACCAGCGACCUGCAGCUCCAUAGGCAAAUCCUUAACUCACUGAGCUACAGAUCAGAUACAAAGAAAUAAAUUCGUCGUCCCUUUGACAUCGUAGUUGGUGAAGUGACCACAUGGGUGGAGCCAAGGCGGAGUCUGGGUGGAGUCAGGGCGGAGAGUAGGCGGGGAGGUGGGUGGCGGCCUCCCCCCUCUACUCCCCCACUUCCCCCCAACCGCCCACCACACCUUCCCCCGCCCGACGAGUUCUUCGAGUCUCCACGAGUUCCUCGAGUCUCGACAGGUUUUCCCCAGUUUCUGGAGUUUCCACCAGGUCGGAGGCAGAACAAGUUAUGAAGAGGUGUUGAAGUCGGCCAGGAUGGACUGACUUUUUACAGCGACUAGAAGGAAGACGACUAGAAGAGCAGGUCUUUAACCACCAUCCAUAAAAUCCAUGGAGUUGAUUCCAGAGAAAUGAAGGGAGGUCAACUUUUAUCAACCUCCACCCAGAUGUUCAACUUCAUAUCUUUACUUGUACAUUUUUAGCACCACAAACCUUUAGUAUCACACUUUAUUAUCCUUUAUUAGGACUUUCAUGGAAUCCACCAGCAGAUUUACUUUUUGUUGACAAACUUUAUUCUUGUCAUCAUGGGACUGCAGUAUUUAAAACUCUUCCUUCUAUUUGACCUCAUGUUUAUUUUAUUGGAGAAAGUUAUUUUAGUUGUCGAUUAGUUUCUUAAAAACCAAGUAAUAAAUUGGAU
ensembl:lncRNA